ensembl:lncRNA
GGGAUUUGCGAAGAGAAAACGCGUGUUUUUUCGCUUAAAAUGGGGGAUGUGCAAAUUGAAAAUGUGCGAUUUUCGGCUAAAUGGGGGAUUUUCGAAGAGAAAACACGUGUUUUCCACAUAAAUGGGGGAUUUGCGAAGAGAAAACGCGUGAUUUUCGCAUAAAUGGGGGAUUUGCGAAGAGAAAACGCGUGAUUUUCAAGUUAAAUGGGGGAUUCGCGAAGAGAAAACGCGUGAUUUUCGCUUAAAUGGGGGAUUUGCGAAGAGAAAACGCGUGACUUUCGCUUAAAUGUGGGAUUUGAGAAAACGCGUGAUUUUCGCUUAAAUGUUGGAUUCUCGGAGAGAAAACGCGUGAUUUUCGCUUAAAUGGGGGAUUUCUGAAAAGAAAACGCGUGAUUUUCGGGUUAAAUGGAAGAUUCCUGAAGAGAAAACGCGUGAUUUUCAAGUUAAAUGGGGAUUUGCAAAGAGAAAACGUGUGAUUUUUGCUUAAAUGGUGUAUUUGAGAAGAGAAAAUUUGUGAUUUUCGCAUAAAUGGGGGAUUCUCAAAGAGAAAACGCUUGAUUUUCACUUAAAUUGACGAUUCGCAAAGAGGAAAACGCGAGAUUUCCACUUAAAUGGGGGUUUUGCGAAGGGAAAAUGUGUGAUUUUCGCUUAAAUGGGGGAUUUCUGAAGAGAAAACUCAUGGUUUUUUGUGUUAAUUGGGGGAUUUGCGAAGAGAAAACGCAUGACUUUCGCUUAAAUGUGGGAUUUGAGAAAACACAUGAUUUUCACUUAAAUGUUGGAUUCUCGAAGUGAAAACGCGUGAUUUUCGCUUAAGUGUUGGAUUCUCGGAGAGAAAACGCGUGAUUUUCAAGGUAAAUGGGGGAUUUCCGAAAAGAAAACGCGUGAUUUUCUGGUUAAAUGGGGGAUUUGCAAAGAGAAAACGCGUGUUUUUUCGCUUAAAUGGGGGACUUGCAAAUUGAAAAUGUGCGAUUAUCGGGUUAAAUGGGGGAUUUUCGAAGAGAAAACUCAUGGUUUUUUGUGUUAAUUGCGGAUUUGCGAAGAGGAAAACGCGUGACUUUCGGGUUAAAUGGAAGAUUCCUGAAGAGAAAACGCGUGAUUUUUGCUUAAAUGGCGGAUUUGCGAAGAGAAAACUCGUGGUUUUUGUGUUAAUUGAGGGAUUUGCGACGAGAAAACGCGUGACUUUCGCUUAAAUGUGGGAUUUGAGAAAACGCGUGAUUUUUCGCUUAAAUGUUGGAUUCUCGGAGAGAAAACGCGUGAUUUUCGCUUAAAUGGGGGAUUUCUGAAAAGAAAAUGCGUGAUUUUCGGGUUAAUUGGGAAAUUUUCAAAGAGAAAAACACGUGUUUUCCACAUAAAUGGGGAUUUGCGAAGAGAAAACGUGUUUUUUUCGCUUAAAUGGGGGAUUUCUGAAGAGAAAACGCGUGAUUUUCAGGUUAAAUGGAAGAUUCCUGAAGAGAAAACGCGUGAUUUUCAAGUUAAAUGGGGGAUUUGCAAAGAGAAAACGUGUGAUUUUCGCUUAAAUGGUGUAUUUGAGACGAGAAAAUUCGUGAUUUUCGCAUAAAUGGGGGAUUCUCAAAGAGAAAACGCUUGAUUUUCACUUAAAUUGACGAUUCUCAAAGAGAAAACGCGAGAUUUCCACUUAAAUGGGGGUUUUGCGAAGGGAAAACGUGUGAUUUUCUGCUUAAAUGGGGGAUUUCUGAAGAGAAAACUCGUGGUUUUUUGUGUUAAUUGGGGGAUUUGCGAAGAGAAAACGCGUGACUUUCGCUUUAAAUGUGGGAUUUGAGAAAACACAGUGAUUUUCACUUAAAUGUUGGAUUCUCGAAGAUGAAAACGCGUGAUUUUCGCUUAAGUGUUGGAUUCUCGGAGAGAAAACACGUGAUUUUCGCUUAAAUGGGGGAUUUCCGAAAAGAAAACGCGUGAUUUUCUGGUUAAAUGGGGGAUUUGCAAAGAGAAAACGCGUGUUUUUCGCUUAAAUGGGGGACUUGCAAAUUGAAAAUGUGCGAUUAUCGGGUUAAAUGGGGGAUUUUCGAAGAGAAAACACGUGUUUUCCACAUAAAUGGGGAUUUGCGAAGAGAAAACGCGUGACUUUCGCAUAAAUGGGGAUUUGCAAAUUGAAAAUGCAUGAUUUUC